GUGCUCCUUCUUCUUGCGGUCGAAGUGGUUCAAGCACAGCCGGAUCCAUUCACGACUACUAUAGACUGCUAUCGGUGCCUGGGGCCUAUGAGAAACAGCACGUGCGGGGAUCCCUUCGACGCCGAAAAGCUCCACCUUGGUGAGGAGGAGAGCGGUAUUCAGAUCAUAAAGUGCAAAAGAGGGGCGUGUCUAAAAUGGACGUAUUUUCACAAAGGUGAGCUGCUAAUCAGAAGAACGUGUUCGCUGGACGAAGAAGACCUCGUGUUUCACAUACCUCUGGUGGACGUGUGUAGAAGGGAGAGAGAUGGCAACGGGCGCCUCUGCAUGUGCUCCGGUGACUUGUGCAACGCCGCACGCCGAACUUCCGCUUCCGCUUCCUGGAGCCUGCUUAUAGCACUUGGCUCGCUAAUUCUUUCUGCGAAGUUGCUUCUCCUCAGCUGACACCCCCUCUCCCUGGUUUGUUCAGUGUAAGUGACAUUGAAAUAUGAUUCAACCCACGGCCUAUAGCAGUGCAUUGUCUGAAAUCACGAGAUCAAAAGACAAGCUGAUGUUCAGAUAUGAUAGAGAAAUGUACGCGAUUAAAAGGAAGGAAAGACAGCGAGGUUUUCAUUGGUGCUUCCGCCGGAUCUGCUGUUAUGGGCCUUUUAUUAAUCCGGAGAAAUGUCUGUAGACCUACUCAACGUAACAAAACUCCACCGACGAGAUGGGAACACAGGCAAGCUUCCAUGGUGUUUUAUUAUGUGAUUAAUUAUCUUUUUCUACUCUUUGUGGUCAAGGGCUCUCUAAUGUUUUUCCCCGUUUCUUCAUGCACCACAAAGUCUCAUGGGAAAUAUACACAGUUGCAUCCAUCAACAUUGAUGUUUUUUUUUAAAUUGCAGUUAUUAGCCUAUUGUUUUGCAUUGUUAGAACCAGUUAAAACAUUGUCAAACUGUAACAAAGUAUUACUAACAAGGAAUUGUUAUCAUAUGGGAGGCGCUCGCAAAAGCUCAAUACCCAAAGGGAAUGUUCUAUUAAAUAAAUUCUUUAAUCACGUUUAUCAUUAAAUUUAACGGCUAUAGGGCCUGGAUACAUUGACAUGAUGAUGGAAGCACGGGAGAUAAAUUUUGCACGGAGUCGACCGACUAUAAUUUUUUAUCUUUCGUAGACUCACCGCUUUGGCGUCUUCAUGUUUGACUUUUUGUUGCCUUCCAGUGAUCCCAGAGGCUAACAUGUCAAUACCCAAUUUUGAUACGUGUUGCAUGAUGAAGUCUCAAUUAAGCCUUCUGGGGCCAUUCAAUAUUCCCACUUUGUCAAUAAAUGAUGACUGUAUUAUAUAAUAGCCAACAGAGGACGAUCUGUUUUUAAUGUGCCAGGAACAGCACUGUAUUUCUUCCCGUUGCUGAGCAAAUGACAAAAGAGAUGGGGCGUUAAGGGGAAUUCUGGACGGCCCCAUAAAGGCAUGUAGUAGCUUGUUGUUCCAAUUAAGUUUUUUGAAGAAGGUGCGAAAUACUCAUUGUAUAUACGCUUGCUUUCCGCCAUUUAUAUAGCUGGCUAUCCAAACAGAUUAUCCUGGCAAAAUACCCAUAAUGCAUAUUAAAUAAUGCAAUUUAUUUUUACCUUUAAGCGCCAGUGGUAAUGAUAAAGGAAUGUUGCUAAUUUGAGUAGUAGUUCUAGGUAUUUGGCCUUCUUAAUGAAAAGCGUUAAUGUUUGUUUUGUUCUCAGAAUACACGUGGUGAGACACUUAUCU